rnacentral:rRNA from 1 species
GCCCGCUCAGAAACUUAAAGGAAUUGACGGGGCCCGCACAAGCGGUGGAGUAUGUGGUUAAUUCGAUGCAACGCGAAGAACCUUACCUGGUCUUGACAUCCCGGAGACCCUUAGGAAACUAGGGGGUGCUUCCAUCUGGAAGAAUCUGGAGACAGGUGCUGCAUGGCUGUCGUCAGCUCGUGUCGUGAGAUGUUGGGUUAAGUCCCGCAACGAGCGCAACCCUUGCCUUUAGUUGCCAGCAGUUCGGCUGGGCACUCUAAAGGGACUGCCGGUGUUAAACCGGAGGAAGGUGGGGAUGACGUCAAGUCCUCAUGGCCUUUAUGACCAGGGCUACACACGUACUACAAUGGCCGAUACAAAGGGCAGCGACACUGCGAGGUGAAGCCAAUCCCGUAAAAUCGGUCUCAGUCCGGAUUGGAGUCUGCAACUCGACUCCAUGAAGUUGGAAUCGCUAGUAAUCGUGGAUCAGCAUGCCACGGUGAAUACGUUCCCGGGCCUU